rnacentral:rRNA from 1 species
GACGAACGCUGGCGGCGUGCUUAACACAUGCAAGUCGAACGAUGAAGCUGGAGCUUGCUCCGGUGGAUUAGUGGCGAACGGGUGAGUAACACGUGAGCAAUCUGCCCUUCACUCUGGGAUAACUGCGGGAAACUGUAGCUAAUACCGGAUACGAGACCUUGGGGCAUCCCAGGGUCUGGAAAGAAUUUCGGUGAAGGAUGAGCUCGCGGCCUAUCUGCUGGAUGGUGAGGUAAUGGCUCACCAAGGCGACAACGGGUAGCCGGCCUGAGAGGGUGACCGGCCACACUGGGACUGAGACACGGCCAGACGCCGACUGGAGGCAGCAGUGAGGAAUAUUGCACAAUGGGCGAAAGCCUGAUGCAGCAACGCCGCGUGAGGGAUGAAGGCCUUCGGGUUGUAAACAUCUUUUAGUAGGGAAGAAGCGCAAGGUACGGUACCUACAGAAAAAGCACCGGCUAACUACGUGCCAGCAGCCGCGGUAA